GGGUGUAGCUCAGUGGUAGAGCACUUGCUUAGCGCAUGUGAGGCUUGCCUAGCCCUGGGUUCAAUCCUCAACACCACA
rnacentral:tRNA from 1 species